rnacentral:rRNA from 1 species
GGGGCCCGCACAAGCGGUGGAGCAUGUGGUUUAAUUCGUUGCUACACGAAGAACCUUACCUGGGUUUGACAUAUAGGUUGUAGGGAACUGAAAAGGGACCGACCCUUCGGGGAGCCUAUACAGGUGUUGCAUGGCUGUCGUCAGCUCGUGUCGUGAGAUGUUCGGUUAAGUCCGCUAACGAGCGCAACCCUCGUCGUAUGUUAUAUGUGUCAUACGAGACUGCCGGUAAAAGCCGGAGGAAGGUGAGGAUGAUGUCAAGUCAGCAUGACCUUUAUAUCCAGGGCUACACACACGCUACAAUGGUCUGUACAAUGGGUAGCCAAGCCGCGAGGCGGAGCCAAUCCUGAAAGCAGGCCUCAGUUCAGAUUGCAGUCUGCAACUCGACUGCAUGAAGCCGGAGUUGCUAGUAACCGCAGGUCAGCAAUACUGCGGUGAAUACGUUCCCGGGUCUU